rnacentral:rRNA from 1 species
GACGAACCGUGCGAACGUUGUUCGGAUUCACUGGGCUUAAAGGGCGCGUAGGCGGGCUUGCCAGUCAGGGGUGAAAUCCUCCGGCUCAACCGGAGCAGGGCCUUUGAUACUGCAAGUCUUGAGGGAGGUAGGGGCAUGUGGAACUUCCGGUGGAGCGGUGAAAUGCGUAGAUAUCGUCAGGAACGCCGAUGGUGAAGACAGGUGACUGGGCCGGAACUGACACUGAGGCACGAAAGCGUGGGGAGCGAACGGG